GCCUGAGUAGCUCAGUGGUAGAGCAGCGCUUUCGUAAAGCGCAGGUCACCGGUUCGAAUCCGGUCUCAGGCUCCA
rnacentral:tRNA from 1 species